CGGCGGACGGGUGAGUAAUGCCUAGGAAUCUGCCUGGUAGUGGGGGACAACGUUUCGAAAGGAACGCUAAUACCGCAUACGUCCUACGGGAGAAAGCAGGGACCUUCGGGCCUUGCGCUAUCAGGUGAGCCUAGGUCGGAUUAGCUAGUUGGUGAGGUAAUGGCUCACCAAGGCGACGAUCCGUAACUGGUCUGAGAGGAUGAUCAGUCACACUGGAACUGAGACACGGUCCAGACUCCUACGGGAGGCAGCAGGU
rnacentral:rRNA from 1 species